CUUCAUGGAGGCUGUUUGUUGCGAAUUAAUAUACUUUCUUCAUAAACUGGUUUUAAUUUAGCUCAGUUUGCCAGAGACUUUGAAAUUAAACACCCGGCUGCUGUUAUAACUCGUUCAUCAUUGUUUCUAUCGUCAACAUAUUUUUGCAGUAAGCAAAUUAAUAUGAAAGAAGAAUUAGAAAACCUAAAGACUUUCCUGUCUCAGAAGAGGCUCUGGCUCCACCAGAUCACCAACCAGCUCUGAGGAUGAACCUCCACAUCGUCUUCAUGGUGGAAAGAUUUUUACCUUACUGAGCAGCUGGCCACAUUUUUAACAGAAAACUGCUGUGUUAUCAACACAAAGUGCUUAAUAAACAUGAUUGGAUUUAAAAAUAAUUGGACAGAAUUUAUUCCCCUUGUUAUUCUACCAUUUCUCUUUCAUGGUUUUUAUUUGUUGUUAGCUUUUAGGGCCCUGUGAUGGACUGGUGACCUGUCCAUGUUGAACCCUGCCUCUCAUCUGAUGGCUGCUGGAGAUGGGCACCACCAGCCCCCUCACCACCCUGCAGGGAUCAGCCUGUUCAGAUCAUGGAUGGAAAGAUUUUAAGGCAAAGAAGUCACCCAGAAAUGUUUUUCCACCCGAGGCAUCCUGUCCCAGUCAUCAUCAGUUCUGAUGUCACAUACAUGGCGAGUCCACAACGUCUUGAAAUUGUUUCUGUAGGUGCAGUGAACGGGAAUGUUCUGUCGUUGACCUCACUGUUCUUAGGAAGGAGAAAUAUUACUGCAGUAAAACUGGGAUACUGUGACACUGUAUUAAAACAAUA